AGAACGGCUGUCAAAGCUGUUACGUAUGAGAGACACCUUGACCAGAAAAAAAAAAAGGAAAAAGGGAGGCAGGGCAGAAAAUAACGCUGUUGCCACCACAAACACCUUCCUUCCGCUUUUCUGCCUGCCUUGCCGGCUUACGAGGAAUCUGUGUGUUCAGUAAAUAACCAGCUCUGCCAGCGCCUGUAGAGUUGUGGACAGAGUGGGGGAAGCGAGAGUUUGGGUUUGGACAAGUCGAAGAUCAAAUUCCAGCUUUUCCUGGCUGUGUUACUCUGGACAAGAUGAGGAAACUGAGGCCCAACAGAUGGCCGAGCUUGGGGUUAGUUGCCUGAGGUGCUGAGGAACUGCAAAGAGGAGACCUUUGCAGGAGACUGCGUCUGGAGCCAGUUAGGCCCGCCAAGAGCUUUCAGAAAUUAGAAGGCCACACAAAUGCUUUUUGGCUGGAAGCAUCCUAAUGGGCCCCACCCAUCUUGCUUAGAGUCAGGCCUCCUUCUUCCCACUACUGGACCCUGUGUUGCCAGGCUGGAAGAGAUCCCCUCGUACCCAGAAUAAAAAGAACUUGGAGCAAAAUCAACUUCAUAUGUCCAAGCAAUGCUUCGUCAACCUUGGAAUGUCACAAACGGUGUAAUUCUAAAACUCACCAGGAGAUUGGCAUUGGGUUGCCAACAGUGUCCUUUGCCAAAUUAAGUAACAUUUUAAAUAUCGCCAUCUGCAAUAGCCGUCAGUUUGUAAAUGGGCACCUUGAUCAAAACUAUGACUCCAAAGUUUCAGUCCUGAGUUACCUGUGCUGGAGCUCUGGCCGGAACCCUUGAUUAUGGGAAGGUCAAUGGCAUGCUUACGGCAACCGUGUAGGAAAAUGAGAAGUCCACCAAUCUGAUGGGUUUUCCUUCUGACCCAAAGACAGAAAAACAAAUCUAAAAGAAAUACGACAAGAAGCAGGACUGGAUCCCUCGAAUCUGUUUGGAUUUGUCGGCUCACCUGAGUUAGAUGGUAAGUUCAGUCCUCCUCCACCAUGCCAAACAGGGCCA